CCGAUGAGACACUGGGUGUCAACUAUUGCUUUGAACUAUCCGAUGAGGCACUGGGUGCCAUUCUGGUGUGUUUGGUUGGAUCCGUGUAUCCGCCAAAGUCCGAGUUUUGUUAAUAGGGUAAAUGAUGAAAUGAUAAACCGAACGAGUUGGUCAAACGAGCUACUGAAAUGAAAUGAAAAAGUUGAAUUGUGAAUUGAAAUGUGAUAUGAGAU
rnacentral:lncRNA from 1 species